rnacentral:ncRNA from 2 species
AGUGAAGGUAGAGGUGCAAACUUCAUAAGUAAAGGCUUGGAGAAGAAUGAGCUUCAAUGAAAAGCUUUGAAAGGGAAUGUUUGCCGAAGUGAAGAAAGUCUCAUCGCUUUCUUUGCUGGUUUUGCAUUUAAUAAAUGCAAGAUUGUCAAGAUAAUUAAUAUCUUGGAGAGCUAUCUCACUG